GAGGUGUGAAUGUACUGCUGAUCUGUGUGACUUUGUGUCUGGGUGUAAGGUUGCAAGUACAACAGUUACUUCUUCGGAGCAUCAGACAACAAACAGAAAGGGCGUUGUAUUUCCAUGUGAUGUUUACAGGAACUAUUGUGAUAAUUCAACAGAUCGUUUUUGCUAUGGAUAGACGAACAAGAUAAUUUAGACGGCUGUUCCAUGUAACCCCAAAGGUUUGGUUAUCAGGCGUAUCAAUCAAAGGAUCAGACUGAUAUGAAGAGCCUAAUGUUUUGUGUUGGUAGUAAAAUACACUUCACUUAUUUAUGAAAUAUCUUAAUCAUAUUCGUUUAGAUUUUAAGGGUAAUUCAAUACGAUGUGCAAAUGUGCUAGGAGGGUUUGGAACAGCCACAUUAAGCUCCCUGAAAAAAAAAAAACAGUCGUUAAGACCGUCCGGAACAAAGACGUAAAAUUGACAUAGUUUGAAAUCGUUGUACGUUCUCAAGUUAUACUUUCAUGAUCAAUGCGAAGCUAAAUUUCUGGUCUAAUACUAUAUUGGUGACAUUCGUGGUAUAUUGGAGAAAAAUGGCAACGUAUCUCCCUGAUCUCGGCAAUAACUGUAGUAGAAUAGGAAUUUAAUAUCAUGUGUUUAUUUUAAUCAUGAAAUAAUGGAAUUGUUAAAAUUGGAAUAGCUACAAACGGAAAUUUAUGUUAUAACUCUUCAAUAAGGCACUUAAAUGAAAUUGACACUAACAUUAUUGUACUCUUUAUCAAUCUAACCCAUCAUACAUUAUCCGAGUUUUAAGGGUUGUAUGGUUGCAUUCAAUAACCACUCACCAUGACCUACAUAAACAACCCAUGCGCGUAAUGUUAACGUUUCUACUAGCUAAACAACUUUUUUUUAUCAUGGUACUUAAAGUUUUGUUUAUUUUUAAAAUAUUUUUUGAGAUGAAGCUUCAGCAAAUAUCAGGGACGUGUUACCUCUACGUACAUGUAGGUAACUCAUAUUGCGUCUGGCAUGCACUGAUUCCCCAUAAAGAUGCUGGAGCCGCUUUUAACAAGAACAGAAUUUCCUACUUUGUCGACUUCUCUUAGAUUAAAUAAAUCUUCUUGAAGCUGGGCAGUUUGAAGUUAUUUGUUUUGUACACUUAAACAAGAACAUGGCCACUUUCAGCCGACAGCAUCUAGAAGAUAUUCAGAUAUCUUAAAAUAUAAUCAGGUUUUGCAUCGCAUUUGCUUUCAAAGGUGCAUCUGAUCAUGCAAAUUAUAACAGAUUAAAUAGUCAUCUGAAGUAUGAAGUAUUUCAAACCCAAACGAUGUAAAUGGUGAAGCCUGUUGCGUGAGAGACAUAGAUAUUUAAGUUAAUGUUACUAGAUUAAUGUUUAAAUGGCAAGAAACCGAGUUUUCUCGUCUAGAAGAACGCUUUUAAAAAAUAGACCCCAAAUUUGUAAUUGGACCAAUUACCGAGUUGAAUCAUAUUAUUAUACACAUGUGCGUACGAUGUGUUUAUGUUUUCGUGGACAGCAUUUUGGUUACAC